UGAUUAUUCUUACUAGGCCAAUUUGCAUAAAAAAUCCAUUAGUUUUGAGCUUUUGCAAAAGUCGACCGUCUUUUUGGUUUUUGUAAAUUCGGGCCGAAUUUUCAGAAGGAUGACCAAACAAGCCCUCUUUCAAAAUGCAUAAAAAUUAUAUGCUUUAAAUGCCUAGAAAAAUACAACUGCUAAGCCAUUAAGUGUAAACUUCUUAAAAAUGACAACUGCUAAGCCAUAAUUACAUGUACCUUUCUCGUGAAAAGAGAAUCCUUAUUCAAGACAAAAUAAAAUAAUAAAGUAUAAUUAAUAAGAUGAAA
rnacentral:lncRNA from 1 species